UACGUAGGUGGCAAGCGUUGUCCGGAUUUAUUGGGUUUAAAAGGGUGCGUAGGCGGGUCUUUUAAGUCAGGGGUGAAAUCCUGGAGCUCAACUCCAGAACUGCCUUUGAUACUGAAGAUCUUGAGUUCGGGAGAGGUGAGUGGAACUGCGAGUGUAGAGGUGGAAUUCGUAGAUAUUAGGAAGAACACCAGUGGCGAAGGCGGCUCACUGGUCCGGGUACUGACGCUGAGGUGCGAAAGCGUGGGGAGCAAACAGG
rnacentral:rRNA from 1 species